AGAGAUGUUGCUAAUGCUCAUAUUUUAGCAUUUGAGAACCCCCAAGCAAAUGGAAGAUACAUUAUGGCUGCAGAUGUAUAUCACUCUUCAGAUAUCAUGAAGAUCAUAAACCAAAACUAUCCCGCUUUUGACUAUUCUGAAAGGUAAUUAAGUUAUAACCUAUUAUUAGGUUCAUUUUAACUUUAUAUAUAUGAACCCAAAAAAGGCAAAAUCUGAAAUACUUGUUUCUUUAUUUAAAUUUUGACAGGUAUAAAGACAGCAAGUAUGUUGGGACACCAAAUUACUUUGUAUCGAGAACAAAGGCAGAAAGUUUAGGCGUUAAGUUUACUACAGUUGAGGAAAGCAUCAAGGACACUGUUGAAAGCCUAAAAGAGAAGAAGUUUCUAAGCUUCUAAAACACCGGAUGAUGUUUUCUAGAUUUGUUUGAAGUUACCACAUGAACAAUGUCAAUAUUGUACGGUGUCUACUGUUUUCGACCCUGUUAUAAAAAAUAAAAAAUAAAUACAGUGAUCAUGUUACACAUAUUAUCAAAAAACGGAACCACAUGGUUUGUCACACUUGGAAACUACCUAAAUUAUGCAAAAUUCAAAAUACCACUGCCCAAAUUUGCAGUUUAGGAGUGUAUAGAUGAUGCUUUAAAAUCUGCAUCUUGAUAUGUAUAGCAUCGUACUCCUAUGGGAGCUGAUCCGUACACAACAAGAUUUAUCCAUACACAACAAAUUUUAAUAAAUAGACAAUUUUAACCUUUUCUCUAUUUAACCAAAUUUUACACUUUACCCCUUGCUGUGAAGCCACAAAGAUGUACAGUAAACGAUCAAAAAACUAGAACUUCAUUCCAAAUAAGUUCACAUUGAUGUUUGGAUUUGAAGACUGGAUAUAAAUUAGAAAAUUUGAUAACCAUAGACUGAUACAAUAUUGUGCAAGAAACUAUACAAAAUUAGAACAUUGAUAUUAUACAGGGACGAUCACAAAAUAGAAUCAUGAUUAAGCAAUUAUAAAUCAAUUCAUGAUUAUAUAGGAAAUGAUUUCAAAUCAGUUCACAGUUCCAAAUUCGUGCUUUUGCAAACUAGAUAAGAGACGCAUUGAGGUUGCAAUUGUACUGGAACGAUCAGAAAAUUGAAUCCAUAAUUAAUCAAAUCAAAAUCAGUUCAUGAUUUUAGAAGAAAAGAUUGUAAAUUAGUUCACAAUUCCAACUUAGUGCUUUUGCAAAUAAGAUAAGAGACACACUGAUACAGGGAAACGGUCAAAAUUAGAAACAAAAUCGCAAUUGUAACGAAAAUUAGCGCGUACCUAUGAAGCAAGCCUGAAGCAGUUGAUGAACGACGGCAGUGGGAUAAGCCGGAGGCUACAGAGACGAUGAAGCAAGCCGGAGGCGGCAACAAGGUGAAGCAAGCAGUGGACGAUGAUUGAAUUGAAUCCGUAUCUUAUCG
rnacentral:lncRNA from 1 species